ensembl:lncRNA
AUGGAUCUCCAUGCUGGAAUGUUGCACUAGAAAAAGUACCUGCCCUCACACAGCUGAUAUUCUUGUGGGUGAGACCAAAAACCUAACGAACAAGGAAAUAGGUAAUAUUGAACAGUUCUAACGGCAUUUUAUAACAAUGCAUUCAGAUUAAUUGGGUAGAGGAGAUGGAGGGUUGGUGUUUUGUAUAGAGGGGUUGGGGGUGGUGUUACUCAGGUGGUGACAUUUGAGAAACCUAAAGAGGAAGUGAGGAACUAGCCAAGUGCAGAUCUGGGAGAAACAUGCCAGGCAGACGAAGCAGUGAACACCUUAAGGCCAGAAGUGACUGUGUGCUCGAGGAGUACACGGGAGGCCACUGUGGCCAGAGCAGAUGAAGGCAGGGAGUGAUGGGAGGUGAGAUGGGAGAGACAGGCAGGGGCAGACCCGUCUAAGUGUGGCGGGAUGCCCUUGGAGGGGUUGGAGCAGAGAAGUGAUGUCCUCCGAGUAUGAUUGGGUUACUUGUAGGACAGGGACCCUUCUUUGUAUGUCCAAGGUGGUGGGGGACCUGGGCAGGUUCACCCAGUCAGUCUACUUACCUGGCCCCUCGGCGAUGGCGACGAGGAUGCUUAGAAUAAUAGAGGUGACACCUGGAAGUAAAAACACAUGCCCAGGCUUUAUGGAAGAAUUGACAGGUGUGGGGAUGGAUGACAGUCAUGAGGCUGUGGAGAGGCAACUGUGAAGUAGGGAGCAGCUCCUCCCUGCUUCACUAGCCAGCAGUGUGCUUGGGAAGUCCCUUCACCCUGCUGUACCUCGGUUUUCUCACCUGUCGAAUGGAGAUACGAUACUGCUCACCUCACGCUGUGGUUGUGAUGAUUAGAUACCGGGAUGUACAUGAAACCCUUGGCGCAGUCUCUGACACUUACAAAAUGUCUUCUCCAUAAAUGGAUUUAUAUCCUUUCUGUGGUUUUGUUUUUCUUUCUGUAGGAAUUCUAGGCACUUGGAUUAGUCCCCGCUACCUAUUAGGCACUAAAUCAAUAUUUCCUGAUGAAGGAAUAAAUGAGGCUAUAAAUAAGUGAAUAAAUAUUUUUAUUAGUGUAUUACUUUCUAUACGAAUUAAAUAAUUUCGAGUAUAAGAUCUCUUUUACACAUCUAAAAUUUUUUUUGGCAGACCUCUGUACCAAUCAUGAUCAAAGCUGCACUUUGAAUAUUUAUCAGUUUAGCAAGUAUUAAUGACAAAAAGAUGGUGACUUGAGUUAGAAGCUUGUCCUUGUUCAUCAUGACAUCCUCUGCCUUCCGCUGAAGAGCAGCGAUUCACCUUUUUGCAGUAGACACUGUUUAUUCAUCUUAUAGCCAGUGCUAACUGGUGCUGUGGAUUAGUAGACUUGCUUGUUAAGCCCAGACCCUGACGGGGCUUCACUGACAGAGGCGAAGAGGUUGGGGAAGGUCUUCCUUUCUGACCCCAGAGGUCGACCUCUCGCCCUCUCUGCUCUCCAGGUGCUGUGCUUUCUUGCCUGCAGCCUCCAGAUGCUCCCAGCCUCUCAGGGUUUGGCAACUCUGACCCUCCCCCACCAGAACCCGGUGCUCAUCCCCUCAGGCCCAAAGCAGCAAAGCUUAAGGGUUGUUAAGCUAAUAGGGGAAGGCUAUAGGCUGUUUCCUGGUAACGCCUUCUUCACUUUUUAAUUGUCACCUUCAGAUAAGUGCCUGGGAGAAGAAAGAAGGGAGACUGGCUGGUGCCUGGAAAGGAACAUCCUGGCACAGAGUAUUGGGGAAUUUUUGCUGCUUACCUUAAGACCUUAACAUCAGUGAAGGUCUGCUCUGUACCAGGUACUGUGAGAGGUGCUGGAACUAGAGGCUUGAAUAAAGAUGACAAGAGGCCUGCCUUCUUGAAGCUUACAUUUGUGUGGUAGACAGAGCCCAAAGAAGCAAGCGGAUGCAUGCCACCUGGUAUUAGGGAAUAGCGUGUGCAACACAAAAAACCGAAGGAAGGUGAUUAAAACUAAUCCGAGCAGGGUGUGUGGUCUUAGAUAAGAUGGUCAGGAAAGCCCUCUCUGGGGAGGUGAUGUUGAAACUGGGUUCUGCGUAGUGGCAAAGAGCACAGCGCAGCUCUGGGGGAGGUGGUUCCAGGCAUGCUGGAAAGUCCACCACUGGAAUUGCUGCAGUGACUGGAGGAGCAGCCAGGACACCAGGGUGGCUGGAGCUAAGGGAGGGAGGGUGAACAGUGAGGACAGGGAGACACCAAACCUCUGAGACUCAGAUGCUGCAGUAAGGAGCUGAGGUUCUGACUGGACUGGGGUGGGGCUUGAGGGACGAGAAACCAGGGGAGAUAGGCUCUGACUCAGGUUUUUACAGGGUCAUGCUGUCUGCCGUAUUAUUUAUCAGGGACCAAGGUUGCAAGCAGAUUGACCACUUGGGAGGUUCUUGUACCAUCCAGUCAAAGCCUGGUGAUAAUUUGGACCAGACUGAGGGGAGGAGAUGGGAGACUUGAUCCAAAGGUAGACAAGAUGCACAGAAAAUUGCAGGUAGGUGUGAGUGGAGAAGAAGAGGAUACUGAAAGCUGUAUAUCUGCAUAUGAGAAACCUAUUUAUCCAAUUAUAUUCUUGAAUUUUUUUUUUUUUUGCUUUUUUCCUCUAGUUAUACAUAAGGUUCUUACUAAAACUUGUCCAUCUGCCAUUCUCUGAGCCAAAGUAGGAACAAGGGAAAGUAGAGCUGCCUUGAUUCUGGAAUUGACCGCACAGAGGGAGACUCCUCUUUUUCAAGCACAUUUCAUGCAGUCUUGGACUUGCCUCUUCACACAUCUCCCCGCCCCCACCAGACAAUACAGAGUAAGGGCAGCGGGUGGACCCUGGAGACAAUGGACUGGGCUUCCAUUUCUCCCCAGUGGGUCAUUUCCUUGCCGUGUGACCUAAGGCUCCUUACCUGCCAACCUUUCAGUUUCCUCAUUUCCGAAAUGAAUCUACCAAAAGGACUCAUCUGGCCGGGAUUUUGCAAAGGAUUCAUUGAGAAAUCAGGUAACAUGCUUGUCCAUGGUGGUACCUGGGAAGCUGUGAAGAAAAUUUAGUCAUUAUUAUUAACAAAUUAAUACUCCUCCCAUGCCUAGGUUUCCUUAUCAGUAGAGAUAAUGAAAACUCUUGGGUGCUUGGGAGAAGCAGAGUAUGAGCACCUGCAAAGCAUUUAGAACCGUGCCUUGUACACAGCGAAUGCUCAAUAAGUGUUAAAUUACUGACUCUGAGCGUAUGACCUCAAAGGGAUUUCCUGUCUUAUUUGCUUUGUGUCCACAAAGCCUUGCCCAAAGUUGAUGCUCAAUAAAUAUUCUUGGGGGAGUUCCCUGGUGUCCCCGUGGGUAAAGAAUCUGGCGUUUGGUCCCUGGCCUGGGAACUUUGACAUGCCCUAGGUGCAGCCUAAAUAAAUAAAUAAAUAUUGCUGAAAAGAAUAAAUGAUGGCGAUAUGAUUAUUAGGAGUUAAAAUGAGAAAACCCAUGUCCAUCUCUGGUGACUAGAAUCAUUGUUUCCUCCAAUGGAAACUCCUAAUGACUCUCUCCUCUGCCCAAGCCUACCAGUGCUCCACACAGAGUUUUAACCGAGGAAAGCAAACCCAUCUCUGGAAGUUUUUAAAGUCAGAGUUGCCCCAUUAUGGGCUGAGGGUAGACAGUUUUAAGUAGCAGGCAGGCACAAAGUGAAAACAGUAUCUUUUUCUAUACAGGUUCAGAUCCUCUGAUUUAAUCAAUAAGAAAGUUUCAUCUGGUGUUUGCCUGUCUUAAACACCUCUCUCGUGCUUUUUAUCAGGAAGAAUAGACAACAAAUUCUGAAACUUUUGCAAGCAGCAGUGGAUAAUACUGGGAUUUUUCAUCAUCCAGUUACUUAUGGCAAAUGUUUCCGCUGAUUAUAGUGAUGUAACUUUUCGUUUAAGUACCUAAGAGGGAAUUAUUGUCAGGAGAUGCAGAAAGAAGGCAGUUGUUGAGGGAAGGGUAUUGCACAAACCGUGAGGAUGGGGCAGAAUGACUAAAUGUGAGAACGCUAUCGACACCCAGGGCCUGGGCAGGGCAAGGGAUUCCUGAACCAGCUGUGAGCUGCCGCUGCCAAGUCACACUCAGGUCAAAGAAAUGCCAGGAAAACAGAGGCUUUCAUGAAAACUUCAAAAAACUUUGAAGACCAGAAGAAACUUCCCCUCCAAGGAUAGCAGGGAAAAAGUUCUGGAAAGUCCUUCCUGGCCCAGGAAAUUUUGCAGAUAUGAACAAACUGGGAAUAAUGUUCUGGUUUCACAUCUGGAAUAGAGCAGUGGUUCUCAACCUUUAUUUGGUAGUCUCAUCACUUGGAAAACUUGUUGAAACGCAAAUUUACAGAUUCCCAAUCCAGUGCCUAAUCGUUCUGCUUCUGUAGGAAGGGGCUGAAGCCCAUGAAUCUGAAUUUUAGGCACCCACUAAGGCUUUGAAUUAUAGGAUAUAGGGGGACACAUCUAAGUUUUCUCCUCUUUCUUCUUCUUUGUGUACUCUCUCUUUCUCUCUCCUCUCUCUUCCAAAUGCUAAAGCAUUCAAAUGCUUAAAAAUUAUUUCCUGGAUUCAUUUUCACUUCUGCCUUUUAGUCAGCGGAAAAGCUAUAAGUGAGCUCUCUUUUCAGUCUCACUCUCUCGUGGCAAUUGCCUGUGUUUUUAGAAGUGGUGGGGACCACUUUCCCUAAUGUAUUCCAAUCAGGAAACAAACCCGUUUAUGCAUUGGUCUCCCUGAUAACAGCAGGAAACAUCAGAGUCCAGAGAAUCUUCAGUUAAGAAGGAGAAAGACAGGUAAGACAGCAGACAUGGAGCAGGGCUCCAUCUGCUUGGGAACUGGCUGGCACCCUGGGUACCGGGGUCAAGAGGCAAGAAUGAAAUAAACAAAAGGCAUCUCCUGGAUCUGGUUAUUUCUUAUACUCUCUAAAAUUUUGGAAACUGUUGGAAGAGAAAGGUAGAACACCUAGUUUUGUUCUUUGGAAUCUCCUCUUCUGCCUUCUCUUUGUCGUAUUUUCUCAUCCUCUCCUCCGUGUUUCCUCUUUUUUUCCCUUGAUCCAUUCUCUCUGUUCCCUCCUGAUUCUUCCCCGUAAAGAGAACUCCCAAGCCCUUCCUGUCUAGCAUCUGUGCCUCCAGAGGUGAUUGUAAUGAAACGAUGGUGGUAGCAGUGAGGAAGACGAGGCUCACCUUAGUGGUCACUGUCUUGGUGCUACCAUUUACGGACCUGGGUUACACGAAACCGAAGGUCUGCCGUCAGCUAACAUAUAGCCAGCCUCGCCUACACACAGGGCAUUUACAUGACGGCUGAGAGCUGGGCGUAAUUGUGACUGGCCCACUGAAUAAAGAUGGAAAUUAAGUUUUGGAAAUUCCAAAUAGCUAGAAGAUCAUACAAGCUUUUAAAAAGGAUCCUGAUACCUGGGUCUGCGUAUCAGAGGCCAGGUACUCAGACACCACGUUUUGUUGCUUCUUAGGGUAUUUAAUGCUUAAUAGCAAAGAGUCAUAUGAAUAAACCUUCAUAGUCUAGUGUAAAUAUGUGCAGACCAAGGGCUUGAACUGAAACCUGAGUGUUUCUUCUAGGUUGAGUCAAGUCAGUUGUGGAGACAGAGAGAGAGUCACCGUUAUCUAAAUCUGUAAACAGUAUUUUUAAAAGGUGAGCCUAUGAGGAUUAAAUAAAAGUAAAAACAAAAACACCAUUUUUAAACCUCUGGAGCUUACCCAAAUAGCAUUUUCCUAAGUCCAUUCCCUGUUUUAUUAAACAGAAGUAAAAGGGAAAAAAAAAAAAAAA